rnacentral:rRNA from 1 species
AGUUAAAAAGCUCGUAGUUAGAUUUCUUUUCUUUGUCGUUGGAAAGCUACUUCACGUAGUUUCUCUAGCAACAGGGGAAAACAUUUGUCGCAAACCGGUCGAGUGCUGUAAUGGUUCUCGGUCGUUAAGUGACUCGUUUACUUUGAGAAAAUUAGAGUGUUCAAAGCAGGCAUUCCGCCUUGAAUAUGUUAGCAUGGAAUAAUAACAUAGGACUGAUAGUUCUAUUUGUUGGUUGUUCGAGAACUGGAGUAAUGAUUGAUAGGGACGGUUGGGGGCAUCUGUAUUCUCAAGCGAGAGGUGAAAUUCUUGGACCUUGGGAAGACAAGCAGCUGCGAAAGCGUUUGCCUAGGACGUUCUCUUUAAUCAAGAACGAAAGUUGGGGGAUCGAAGACGAUCAGAUACCGUCGUAGUCUCAACUAUAAACUAUGCCAGCUAGGGAUCAGCCGGGUCUUUCUU